GUGAGACUGAGGCUGGUCAGAACAGUAUUUAAAGUGUCACCUCACCCAGGUUCAAUCGGCUCUGACCAUCACAGAGAAGAUCUUUCACUCACCUCUCAACAGGGAAGACCCUUCACUCUCACCUCUCAACUCAACGUCCACUUGUCUUACUCUCCGGCGUCACUGUGACAUUUUUAUGAAGCUGCUACAGUUGAUCUCUCAGCUAACCAACUCCAGUGCAUUUCCCCUGAACUGCCAUGAUGAUGAGAAUGAAGCUGACCUUCCUUUUGGCCAUCUUACUUUUUCAACUGACCAUCUCGGUUGAAGGAGGGGGGACUGGGUCUGAGCCGGCUAAACAGUUUCACUUUGGAGAUAUCAUUCAAUUCCGACGUCCAAGUCUCAACCACUAUGGAAUUUAUGUGGGUAAUGAAAUAAUUGACCAAGGCAAACAAAAAGUCGGACAAGAUCUUUUUAACCGAAAGAAUGACAAGCAAAGUGCGUUUUUUCAUCAGUAGAAGUAGAGGAGAAGGAAAACAAAAAGGGUGAAGAUGGUAAACCUGUACCAGCUAUACAAGAUAACCACUGGGAUACCAAAGAAGGCUACACCUUACAGACUAAGGAACAGAUUAUUGCUAAAAUUAAGGAGCUCUUGGCGGAUUGUAAUACGUAUAACGUCUUUAAAAGGAAUUGUGAGCAUACAGCAACAUACAUUCGCUAUAAUCGAGCAGUCUGCAACCAGGAAGGUGCACCUUUACUAGCUAGGGCUGGUGCCAAAUUGACCAAACAAGGCAAAGGAGGUCAAAACAUGAAGAAAGGAUGGGCUAGAAGAGGUCUUGGUCUCCUGCGUGAUGAAACCGGUGCCAACCAGGGUGCACCCGCUGCUUGAUUUCUUAACCUCUCAGAUGUUCUCUCUCUUCCAUCCUCUGUCUCUGUAUGAAGUGAGGUCUUAAUAAUAAAGAAACAAUUCUUGCUCA